rnacentral:rRNA from 1 species
UUGAAUGGCUGCGAUAUUUUGAUCGUACUAAGGUAGCAUAAUCAUUAGUUUUUUAAUUGAAAGCUGGUAUGAAGGGUUGGAUGAGAAAAUGACUGUCUCUAUUUAAAUUUUAUAAAAUUUUAUUUUUAAGUUAAAAAGCUUAAAUAUUAUUAAAAGACGAGAAGACCCUAUAGAGUUUAAUAAAUUUAUUUUUAAUUAUAGUUUAGUAUUAAGUUAUUAAAUAGGAUAUAUUUAUUUAAUUGGGGUGAUUUAAAAAUUUAAUUAACUUUUUAUUUAUAUUAAUAUUUAUUUAUAGUUAUUUGAUCCAGUUAUAUUGAUUAUAAGAAAAAAUUACCUUAGGGAUAACAGCGUAAUUUUAUUGGAGAGUU